rnacentral:rRNA from 1 species
AUUGAACGCUGGCGGCAGGCCUAACACAUGCAAGUCGAGCGGAUGAAGGGAGCUUGCUCCUGGAUUCAGCGGCGGACGGGUGAGUAAUGCCUAGGAAUCUGCCUGGUAGUGGGGGAUAACGUCCGGAAACGGGCGCUAAUACCGCAUACGUCCUGAGGGAGAAAGUGGGGGACAUUCGGACCUCACGCUAUCAGAUGAGCCUAGGUCGGAUUAGCUAGUUGGUGGGGUAAAGGCCUACCAAGGCGACGAUCCGUAACUGGUCUGAGAGGAUGAUCAGUCACACUGGAACUGAGACACGGUCCAGACUCCUACGGGAGGCAGCAGUGGGGAAUAUUGGACAAUGGGCGAAAGCCUGAUCCAGCCAUGCCGCGUGUGUGAAGAAGGUCUUCGGAUUGUAAAGCACUUUAAGUUGGGAGGAAGGGCAGUAAGUUAAUACCUUGCUGUUUUGACGUUACCAACAGAAUAAGCACCGGCUAACUUCGUG